CGCGGCCGGGGCCGGCACUGACGGCCCGGCCAGCGCACAGCCCUUUGCUGGCUGUGCAGGUUGGCCCGUCUCGCUGGAGGAAAGCUGUGGGAUGUCCGGUUGUCCCUCGGGACGGACGAGAGCUCAGCAGGUUUUUUCCAGUUUGAGGCAGCUGCAUCAUGAUGUGUUGGAUGAAUAAGUGGGCAGUGAGCGAGAAGAUCUACCAGUGAGGUCCUACCUGCUUUCAGUCUUCUAGAAACUGGCAAAACAGAAGAAUUGUGUGUACAAGAACUGUAACAAGAUGUGUUUUUACAUGAAGAGGUACUUGGGUUUGUCAGUCCUGAGACUGGGUUGAAAUUUAGCAUAAAGAAGUGCACUGGCAACUAGAGAAGAAUUAAAUACAGCAAUGCACCUUACUUAGGAUGCACGCUUGCACUGGGAAUCUGUGAUGCUGUUCUACCAUUUUUGGUGUGUGGAUCAGGUGUGAGGAGGGUGAGAACACUGAUGCAUAAACAAAUAAGAAGAGUUGCAGCUCAGCAAGCUUGAGGACUGGCCCAUGAACAUCUGAAGAACCGAUGGAUCCACCCUCAAUGCAAACAUCUCUGGGCAGCUCUACUGUCAUCAGAGGAAGGGAACCAAUUCCAGGAGCACACUCCCUAGCCUGUUACACAGCUCAAGCGUGCAGGAACUCAAACAGUGGAGACCCAGGUGCUGAGGAAAAAGGAAGAAACUAAGAAAAUAAAUGGAAACACUUGUAAGCAAGGUUCCUUAUGUUGGAUUCUGGCUGAACGGCAAGAUCCAGUUUUCAUUGUUGCUGGAAAUUUUUAAACAGCAAGAAGAUAAAUCUGUGGAGAAGAAAACACCCAAAGCUACAAGAUGAAGACACAAUCUCCUGUAAAACCUCAUGCCAAACUUCAGCUACCCCCUGACUGUCUUCCAAAACCCCCUUCAAGGCUAUCUCUGCUGCACUGCCUACAAAUCACUGUCACCUGGCAAUGUUGAGGCUGGAGGCCAUCUGUGACCAUGGUGACUUGUGAUUUAUACAAAAAUGUCAUCUUCCAAGAAAUGAAAAAGGAGCACAGCAGUAAGUGAAAGACCAUGGUCAAGACAACUUGAAGACUCCUGAUCCCCAGUGUUUGGCCUAGGCUAUUGUAUUCUUUUGUCCCAUAUUUUCCUUACAAGUCUACUGGCAUCUUGAGCAACUUCAGAUCCUUCUAGCCUGCCCCAGGAGAAAGGGCCAAUACUCAAGUAUCAACACAAAGGGAUACUCUGGGCCACUCAUGGCUGUUGAACAAAUGUAGAAGACACACAUGAGUUGCUGGACAUAUUCUACAGAGAGAACAGACCACACACAGACUCAAUCUCCAAAGACUGAGAAGUCAAAGGUGCGCAUUAAUUUAAUAUGGACCAGCUUUUUACAUCCAGGGAGAGUGAGGGGGAAACACUGACUUCUGUUUUUGCACAGGAACUGAUUAUUUUGAAGGGAGAUCAGAGCUGUUGCUGGCUUGGUGCUAGAGGUUUGGAAAACCUUUCAGUUCCCUUUCCUUUCCUGCCUCUCAUCUGAGACUUGAGACUUCUGUCAGCACAAACAGCUUAGCCUGCAGGCCUGCUUCUCUGGCUCAAAGGGUGGAUGGGGCAAGAAUGGGCAGAAGACCCCACUCAAUUCUUUCAUGAAUGGAAGGGAAGAAAAUGUCCUGAGACAAUUUCUGCUCUU